CGCCUCCCAAAAGUAUCGGUUAGUCUUGUAAUUCGAUUGGUCCUAAUUUGAGUAGUGAAGUGUUUACAUCUGCAUAUUUUCCAAAUAAAUGUGUGGCAUUGAGCAAUGAUCAAGCCCGUGUCUCCGUGGGAAUAUUAGUUUUACUGGAAAACACACAUGGUUUAUUUCCCGGCUAUGGGCAAUAAUUGAAGUCUAGUGGUUUAUGAGGUUGAUGGCCUGCAGUCCGGAUGAACCAAACAGACCCUACUCAUGACUCAUCUUUGAUGUGUUUAACGUGGACCUUACAGUACAAUUGGCGUUCCCAUCUUUCAGUCAAGUCUGAUCUAUUGUCCAGUCCCCACCUGCAGCCCCCACUGUGUAUAUGUUCAGUGGAUACAGUCUAUCUGUACUCCACCCUGAACUACCCAGAAAAGCAAACACAACGACAGUGUGACCGAUCAAAGACUGAAGAUGCUUAAGAGGUCCUCACCGAUAUCAAUACAUCUCUGCUUGGCUGUG